UACGUAGGUGGCAAGCGUUGUCCGGAUUUACUGGGCGUAAAGAGCGCGUAGGCGGCCAACUAAGUCGGACGUGAAAUCCCCAGGCUCAACCUGGGAACUGCAUCCGAUACUGGAUGGCUUGAAUUCGGGAGAGGGAUGCAGAAUUCCAGGUGUAGCGGUGAAAUGCGUAGAUAUCUGGAGGAAUACCGGUGGCGAAGGCGGCAUCCUGGACCGACAUUGACGCUGAGGAGCGAAAGCCAGGGGAGCAAACGGG
rnacentral:rRNA from 1 species